UAUAGGACGUGGCACAGUAACAAAACUCCCUUGACCUAAUGUCCAACAUUUCCCAAGUAAUCUAAGUAUUCUAACCUCUCAGCCCUCACCCGACGACGUGCCUACUCACUCUAAUCAUCUCUGCUCCCGCGGUCUUCCAAGUCCUGUCUCCCUUACUGUCAUCUGAGUUUUUUAAGGAUCUACCUCACAAGACUAUGGGAUCUGGCAAGUCUGAAAUCUGCUGGGCAGUCUGGUAUACUGGAAACUAAGAGAGAGACAGAGCAUGAACAGGGGAGGAGCAGAGAAAGAGGGAGACACAGAAUCUGAAACAGGCUCCAGGCUCUGAGCUGUCAGCACAGAGCCUGACACGGGGCUCGAACUCACGGACUGUGAGAUCAUGACCUGAGCUGAAGUCGGACGGACGCUUAACCGACCAAGCCACCCAGGUGCCCCUCAACGGUGUAUACUUUUAAAUCCAUGUAUUCCUCACUUACAAAUACUGAA